GGUUAAGCGACUAAGCGUACACGGUGGAUGCCCUGGCAGUCAGAGGCGAUGAAGGACGUGCUAAUCUGCGAUAAGCGUCGGUAAGGUGAUAUGAACCGUUAUAACCGACGAUUUCCGAAUGGGGAAACCCAGUGUGAUUCGUCA
rnacentral:ncRNA from 1 species